rnacentral:lncRNA from 1 species
AUAYUUAUUUUUUGGUAAUGUUUAUUAAAAACGCAGGUGGGAGAUCACAGUGUGGGAGGCAGCAGUGUCCUCACCCAAACAGCUGGGUCAAACGCAAGGGUCGUCCAGCGCAGCGACGUGUCUCCAGUGGCCAGGAGUGGACACCAAGGAACACACRACAGGGCAAGCACCCACUGCUGUUUCCUCAAAAUGCCCUCGCAGCCUUCAGCAGCUUGGAGCUUGAGGACUUCCUGAGACAGCCUUGGCCCCAAGAGGCGAGGUGAGCAGUGCCUGAUGUGUGACCUGCGUCUCACUGCGAGCAUGCGAAGUUAGAACAGGGGAGGAGAACAUGCUGGAGAGGAGACCCUGGAUCUGGACCUUCAUCAUGAGAAGCCUUUUAAGAAGAAGAGAAAAAAAAAAGAAAAGGAAAAAAACCUUGGUAUCUACGCAGGAUCUGUGCCAAAGAUACAAGAAGAGGAGGUUUUGCUUCUGUAGUGUUCUGCCU